UGUCUAUGGCAUUCCACCCUGAAUGUGCCUGAUCCUGUCUGAUCUCAGAAGCUAAGCAGGGUUGGGCUUUUUAGUACUUGGAUGGGAGAAAUAUCAUUGAUUU
rnacentral:rRNA from 1 species